UUAAAAAGUUAUAUUUUAUGUACCUUUGAAACCUGUAGGUUGCUUCUGUGUCUCUCUCUCUCUCUCUCUCUCUCUCUCUCUCUCUCUCUCUCUCUCUCUCUCUCUCUCUCUCUCUCUCUCUCUCUCUCUCUGUGUGUGUGUGUGUGUGUGUGUGUGUGUGUGUGUGUGUGUGUGUGUUAAGGUUGUUGAGACAAGUCUGCAGCUGCUUCUCAUUGAACAGCACCAUGAACCGUCAGCUGUUCUUCUGCCUCUCAGUGCCAGUGAGAUGAGCAGCGCCUGUUGCAGCAUUCAGUUCCUCUCUUCUACUUAUUCAGCUCCCAGACUGGGUCAGUGGACAUUUUAAGGUACUUCCUCGGCAUGAUAAGGGGUCCAGAGAGUCGGCUCUGCUGGUUUAAAACCACCAAGACCCGCUACUUGGAUCAAGAGGUAAUCACAUACUUUAUUACUCUGAUGAAGAGAACUGACACUAAUGAUUAUUAGAUGAACAGUUUUCUGAUAGAUCUUGAGCUAAUUGUUAUUUGCAGGGAUUCCCUUAUCAUAUCAACACAGAGGUUUGUUUCACUGGCAUACAGGUAAGGGAUUAUUUGUUGUAGAAUCACACAAAACUUUUGUUAAUUGCAGUGACUAAUUGUGUUCACUUUAAAUUGUUUUCUUUAGUGUCUAUCUGGGAGUGUUACAGAACUCAUUUCCUGUCACCGCAUGGAGACUGUCACAGUGCCACUUGAGGACUA